rnacentral:rRNA from 1 species
CAAUAGCGUAUAUUUAAGUUGCUGCAGUUAAAAAGCUCGUAGUUGGAUUUCGGGUGGGAAUGGCCGGUCCGCCGUUUCGGUGUGCACUUGCUACGCCCACCUUGCUGCCGGGGACGUGCUCUUGAGUUCACGCUCGGGACACGGAGUCGGCAGCGUUACUUUGAGAAAAUUAGAGUGUUCAAAGCAGGCUAUCGCUCUGAAUACUACAGCAUGGAAUAACACGAUAGGACUCCGAGCCUAUUCUGUUGGUCUUCGGGACCGGAGUAAUGAUUAAGAGGGACAGUUGGGGGCAUUCGUAUUCCGAUGUCAGAGGUGAAAUUCUUGGAUUAUCGGAAGACGAACAUCUGCGAAAGCAUUUGCCAAGGAUGUUUUCAUUAA